rnacentral:rRNA from 1 species
GGGUUAGUAGGUUGGUCAUGCCUCUGGUAUGUACUGGUCUCACUGAUUCCUCCUUCUGACGAACCAUUAUGUCAUUUAUUUGGUGUUGUGGGGAAUCAGGACUGUUACUUUGAAAAAAUUAGAGUGUUUAAAGCAGGCUCACGCUUGAAUACAUUAGCAUGGAAUAAUAAAAUAGGACGUGCGGUUCUAUUUUGUUGGUUUCUAGAGUCGCCGUA